CACUGUUUUAUGUAUCAUUACUAUUCAAACCCAAAUUUUCGAGUGCAUGCCGAUUUUCUCGUCACUAAAACUAUUUUAAAAUGAGGGAACGUACUACUCAUCGUGGCUGUGGACGUAGAUUUGGAUGGUCCGGACGAGGUCGACAUUCAGAUCAUCACCUUUGGAAAAAAGCGAUUAAAUGCCAUAGAUAUUGUUCGGGGCCAACAAAUGAUUCUUGUAAACAUGAAAAGCGGUCUAGGAGUAAUUCCUCUGUACAUCACUGUGGAGAGGGAAUCACUCAUCACAGUCCAUCCCCAACGCAACGCUUUUCUGGAUGGCACAAGCGUUCGAAAUGUUGCUAUUCUGGACCGCAUCCUACCUUGGAACGACCCAUUGGAUCUGGUCACUGUCCACUACAGUUCUCACACAAUGGUGCUCAACAAGAAACUGAGGCAAUCCAGGAAAAAGCAACACAAACUGAAGAAGCCACCGGAAAUAAUCCUUGAAUGAUUUACCUUACCUGGAUUAUAUGGCUAUUUACCAAAAUAUAUGGUAUCUUCACCACAAGUUUAUAUUCUCCUAAUAACCUGGACUACAAGAUUCGGCACUUCCAUUUAUCGGAGUCAUAAGAUUAUGUACUUCCAAUCUUCUGAACCACAAGUUCUGCACUUCCAGUUACCAGAACCACAAGAUUCUGCACUUCUAUUUAUCGGAGUCAUAAAAUUAUGUGCUUCGAACCUUCUGAACCAUAAGAUUCUGUACUUCCAGUAACUGAAUUGCGUCAAUUCUAUUAUCCAGCUUUUUACGAAAUAUAUUUCCUGUAGUUACCGAAUAUUAAUGAAUAAAGUUUUUGAAUUAA